rfam:Salmo salar isolate Sally breed double haploid chromosome ssa05, whole genome shotgun sequence.
AGGACAGCUGGUGUUGUGAAUCAGGCCGCUAUAGUGCCAGACACGGCUUCUUCCCAACACCAGGGUCACA